GUGGGGAAUAUUGCGCAAUGGGCGAAAGCCUGACGCAGCGACGCCGCGUGAGGGAUGAAGGUUUUCGGAUCGUAAACCUCUGUCAGAAGGGAAGAAACUACGUUGUGCUAAUCAGCAGCGUACUGACGGUACCUUCAAAGGAAGCACCGGCUAACUCCGUGCCAGCAGCCGCGGUAAUACGGAGGGUGCAAGCGUUAAUCGGAAUUACUGGGCGUAAAGCGCACGUAGGCUGUAGUGUAAGUCAGGGGUGAAAUCCCACGGCUCAACCGUGGAACUGCCUAUGAUACUGCACAACUUGAAUCCGGGAGAGGGUGGCGGAAUUCCAGGUGUAGGAGUGAAAUCCGUAGAUAUCUGGAGGAACAUCAGUGGCGAAGGCGGCCACCUGGACCGGUAUUGACGCUGAGGCGCGAAAGCGUGGGGAGCAAACAGGAUUAGAUACCCGGGUAGUCC
rnacentral:rRNA from 1 species